rnacentral:misc_RNA from 1 species
AGGAAACCRAUAAAAUCAAUCAUCUUCAGUUUUGAAAGACUUAGGAUAACUAAGUUUUUCUUCGUGACUUCACGAAGGGCCUAUAGCUCAGUUGGUUAGAGCACACGCCUGAUAAGCGUGAGGUCGGUGGUUCAAGUCCAUUUAGGCCCACCAGAGUUAUAGGUGUCGUAAGAACACAAAUUCUUUGAAAAUUAGGUAAAUAAUAGUUAUUUUUCCGGAACAUU